rnacentral:rRNA from 1 species
CGCACGGGUGAGUAACGCGUAUGCAACCUGCCCGUUUCAGCGGGAUAACCCGGAGAAAUCCGGCCUAAUACCGCAUGUGGCCGAGGGGAGGCAUCUUCUUUCGGCCAAAGGAGGCGACUCCGGAGACGGAUGGGCAUGCGUGACAUUAGCUAGUUGGCGGGGUAACGGCCCACCAAGGCGACGAUCAGUAGCCGGACUGAGAGGUUGGCCGGCCACAUUGGGACUGAGACACGGCCCAGACUCCUACGGAAGGCAGCAG